rnacentral:rRNA from 1 species
UACGGAGGGGGCAAGCGUUGUCCGGAUUUAUUGGGCGUAAAGAGCUCGUAGGCGGUUCCGUAAGUCGGGUGUGAAAAAUCUGGGCUCAACCCAGUGGAGCACCCGAUACUGCGGUGACUCGAGUCCGGUAGGGGAGUGUGGAAUUCCUGGUGUAGCGGUGAAAUGCGCAGAUAUCAGGAGGAACACCAAUAGCGAAGGCAGCUCGCUGGGACGGUACUGACGCUAAGGCGCGAAAGCGUGGGGAGCGAACAGG